CGGAUCGCCUCGCUCACCUCGAGACAGAGUUGUUAUUUGGGUUGUCGUGGAUAGGCUUAUCAAAUCUGUGCAUUUCACCCCAAUGAGGACUACUAGUUUAGCACAUGAUUUGACUCCCUUGUACAUUAAGGAAAUAGUGGGGUUGCAUGGUGUCCUAAAAUCGAUUAUUUCAGAUUGAGAUCCCAAAUUUGUAUCCCAGUUUUGGCAGAGCUUGGGGAAUACCUUGGGUGCAAAACUCUUUCUUAACACAACUUUCUACCCACAAUCGGAUAGUCAAUCAGAAUGAACUAUCCAGAUCUUGAAGGACAUGCUUUAUGCUUGUGCCCUAUUUUGAAAAUGCUUGGAGAAUCAUCUAGCCCUAGUGGAGUUUGAUUAUAAUAAUAGCCACCGGACUAGUAUUCAAAUGGCUCUUUUUAGAUCUUGUAUGGAUGAAGGUGUGCUUCCUCUUUUGUGUUUGGUUUUCGUUGGAGAAAGAUUGUUGUUGGGGUCUAGAUUUAAUUCAACAACCAUCAAAGAAGCUAUACUGAAUAUGUUAGAACAGGUUGACUGCUCAGAGUCAACAAAAGAGCUAUAUAGAUAUCCGAAGAUGAAACCUUGAGUUGGCAGUUGACCACCAUGUUCUUCUCAGAAUGUCACCAAUCAAAGAUGUUGUAUGGUUUGGUACCUCUGAAAAAGCUUAGCCCGAGGUAAAUUGGCCCAUUUCGGGUCAUAGCCUGAGUAAGCAGUUUGGCUUACUAUCUUGAUUUACUGGAUUUGAUGAGUGGAGUACAUAAUAUCUCCUAUAUGUAUAUGCUAAGGAGAUAUCGAAGAGACCCUGAGUAUAAAAUUGACAUUGAAUCGAUCAUAGUGGAGCAAGACGUGACUAUUAAGUGUCGCCUAAUAGGCAUCUUGGACACUUCAGAGUGAAUCAUAAGUUUUGAGGUGUUUUACCUCUAUCUUAUAGUUGUUAUGGAAGCGACAGAAUUUGGGACGAAUUCUUUUAAGGAGGGGAGAGUGUAAUACCGAAUAUUAAAAAGAAGAAAGGAUACCAAAUAACUGAAAAAGAAGAAAUUGAGAAAAUUGACCAAAAGUUGACUUUAAGAACCGUUGCUCGUAUGAACAAUCGGAUACCGCAGUCGCGUUCAUCUCGUCGAGAUGAACCCAUUUUGCUAUUCACACGACCGUUCCGAGCACUUUGUGACCCGUAGCAAGCCCAAUGAAUUUAAAUCAUUGAUUUUUUUAAUAAAAAAAGGGGAUAAAGCUCUGGACGGGCCGGUCGUCAACCCGACCCAUCCAGAGAACUCUCGAACACACACUCUCUCUCUCUCAGCCAUCUCUCUUCUGCUCUCUUCACGGAACCGUGGCCCCCUCCGACCGCCGUCACUCCUGUCGGCCGAUGCCGCAACUGCGCUCGCGGCCGUCUCCGCACCGCCACCGGCCUUGCGCGCCGCAGCCACCCUCUGUCACUGGCCGCCGUCGCCGUCUACCGAGCACCGCCUGCCGUGCACGCCGUUGCGCCGCGCCGUGCACCGGCCGAGCUCCCCGCUACCGCGCCGUGCCGCCUCCGCCGGCCUAAGCUGCUCCACUAGCUGUCUCGCGCCUCCGCGCCAUCACGCCGGCUCGCCGUGCUGCUGACCGCCAUCGAGCAUCGUCGCGGUCGCUCUCCGGCCAACGUGCUUCGUUGACAGAGAGGCAGACCGAAGGAAGCAGGCACAGACCGAAGCAAGGAAGCCAGCCGAAGAAGAAAACUAGGAAAGGGAAGGAAGAGAAGGAAAAGAAAAGAAAAGAGAAAAGGAAAGAGAAGAAGAAGAAAGAAAAAAAAAGGGAAGAAAGAAAAGAAAAAAGGGAAAAGUUGGAAUUUUCGCAAUUUUGUCGGAUUCGUCGUCAAUCCUCCAAAGGUGAUUCUUCAGUAAUUCCUAGACGUUUGUGGUUGAAUUGAAUCAAUCAAUUCCCGUCAAAUAUGUGAUCAGUGAUCCGGUUUACUUUCAAUGAUUGUUGUUGAGACAAAGAUGUAACACCAAAGUGAUAUGUCUUUUCUGUUAAUUGAACAAGAUCUAAUUAGUAGAGGAGAACCUGAUUUGACUUUAAGGUGGAGGUGUCACAACUUUUCUUGCCGUAUGAGUCUCUGUUCGACAUGCUCCGAAGUAUUGACGUAUAUGUGACGUUUUUGAGUGUAGGAAGAACAUUCUUGUACUAUAUACGUUAUUGAUGUACUUUAGUACUAAAAUAUAAUUGUGCAGGUGGUAACUCUUCUGAGCGUGCUUAAGCGGAGUUUCUUUACCACCGUCGGGUAAAAGGCAAGUAACGUAGGGGUUGUAUUUCAAUGCUAUGUUUAUAUUCAUAUCUUACUUUUUGCAAGUGAAAUUGAAUUAUUCAAUAUUCUCUAAUCUAUUCCGAGCACGGAUGAUAUUACAUUCUGUCGAACUUAAAUUCAGUCAAGUAUAUCAAUUUUGAUUAUUUUGUUAGCGUCCUGAAUCAAUUGCAAUGUUAUUUAACAUGAGACAUCAAAAGAAGAAUAUAAGAAUUGACGUCAAUUCACAUGCAUACAUAUGCAUAUAUGCAUUUCAUACGGUGAUAAAGGCCGGUCACUGCCAUCGUGCGUGACUCGUACCGGUAUAUGGAGUUGCAUGAGAGGUUGGCAUCGUCCAACGCAAAACUCUCAAAUGGAGUUGCAUCAUGGCAUUCAUACAUUUGGAAAUCAUUCAAAGAAUAUAAAAUUAUGGAAUGUUUAAUGCCAUGAUAUACAGGAAACUGUAUUGGAGGUUGUCGUUGUGUUCUGUCGAUGAAUAUGUUUUAAGUGGUAACAUGGUUUCUUUAAACUCAUAUGUUUAAUUUUUCCAUUGUGAGGAAAAUGGUUGUUUUCGAAUAUAAUCUUUACUAAGUGAGGUAUGUUUAUAUUCAUAGCCGUUGCUUGCUGAGUUUGUCUCACCCCCGUUAACUCUUUUCAGGUACACUCAGGCCGUUACCGUGCAUUUUGGGAUAUAAAAUCAUUCAAAGAAUAUAAAAUUAUGGAAUGUUUAAUGCCAUGAUAUACAGGAAACUGUAUUGGAGGUUGUCGUUGUGUUCUGUCGAUGAAUAUGUUUUAAGUGGUACGCUCAGGCCGUUACCGUGCAUUUUGGGAUAUAGAAUUUGGUAACUGCACGCACUGCCUCCUCACUAUGGAAAUGAUCCAACUUGUGGUUGAAAACUAUGUUUUGUUAGUUGUCGUACUUUUAGAUGAGAUGUUGCCAAAUUUUUAUUUUUAGCUGUUUUAAGCUUAGUUGUCUAGGAGGGUGUUACACAUGGUAUAUGCUAAACAGCCCUACAGACAAUUGCAUCCAUAAAGGUUUGCCAUACUGGAUUCUUGUCCAGUGUUCAGUGUCCUUCCUGAUUCCUGCUCUGAAUUUGUUGAUGUAAUAACUGGGAAAGGUAAGCAAGUCAUGCAUGAGAAUGUUUCAGACAAAGCUAUAUACUUCACACCAAAGAAAGUGGUUCAAACCUUUCAAACUGAAGCUUCCUCCACCACUGCCAUGUAUAGAAAAAAGGCCUUCAAAUGCCCACCUCUGGUUGAAUCAGAUGUCAGAAGAAGUGGCCGAAUCAGAGAAUAGAAUAAAGGGUACAAAAGGAAUACAUGCCUGGACAAAAAUUGUCUAGCAUGCGCCAUUGACCCGCCCAAGCUCCACAAGAAUUAUCAAAAGACUUGGAGAUGAAUUCUGCAAAGUGACAAAAGGAGCUAUCACUGAUGCCAAGCUGCUAGAAAAGAAAAAGACCAAGAAGAUGCCUGAUGCAAGUACAACUGAAGACAAGAUGCCAAUCAAGAAAAAGAGUAAGAAGGUGGUACCUGAGGUUAUCACUGCAGAGAAGCUGCCUACCACUAUUGCCAGAAAGAAGAUCAAGAAGGUAGUCAGCAAGAAGAUUGACUCUUCUGUUGCCAAUGAAGACAACCAAAAAAUGAUGUUAUGGGCCAGUUCUGCACUGGCAUUUUGUGCUUUUUGGGCCAGUUUUGCAAUACCAUUUUGGGUUUCAUUUGGCAACCUUGUACUAGUCUUCUGUGUCAAGUCUCUCAAUAUUGUUCUAUCAGUUUAAACUCUCCUAGCCUCAAGAGCUUAUCUAGUAAUUUGAGCAGUGUU